GAACUGCGAUAAGUAAUGUGAAUUGCAGAAUUCAGUGAAUCAUCGAGUCUUUGAACGCACAUCGCGCCCCCUGGCAUUCCGGGGGGCAUGCCUGUCCGAGCGUCAUUGCUGCCCUUCAAGCCCGGCUUGUGUGUUGGGUCGUCGUCCCCUCCGGGGGACGGGCCCGAAAGGCAGCGGCGGCACCGCGUCCGGUCCUCGAGCGUAUGGGGCUUUGUCACCCGCUCGAUAAGGACCGGCCGGGCGCCAGCCGGCGUCUCCAACCUUUUUUUCUCAGGUUGACCUCGGAUCAGGUAGGGAUACCCGCUGAACUUAAGC
rnacentral:misc_RNA from 1 species